GUAUCUCGGAUUUCUGUGCAUAUUUUUAAAGGAUAAAGGCGUAAAACUUGAGCUAAUUUCAAAAUUUAACUCUUGGACUGAAUUACUACGGCUUCCUUCUCGUGACCAGGAUGAACUUGUAGACUUAGGUGAAGUCCACUAAGUUUCGUAGAUAAGCUGGCAGCUAGGGCUACUAAGGUAUUGGCCAACAGCUGCUAUUUAACUCCUGAGUGGAUAGUUGCUACCUGUCUGCUACAACCUAUCCUCGAGGAAGGUCGUACAACCCUAGCAACCCGCCUCACUCCUUAACUACACUUUUUAAUUACACAACCCUCUUCCAGUUAAAAGCAUUUAAAUAAUAGCAGCAUUAACGCGAGGGGAACUUCUUCAUAGUGCGAGCACCCCGCGAAAUACGCGUCAGCAGUCCUUUUAAAUUCCAUUUCACCGGUGUAAAGUGAGCUCUUAAUGAGUGGUUUGACUGUUAACUUAUAAGUACAUUUUCUAAUAAAGUAAAGAUUGAUCUCCUUCGUCAGAUGUUAUUUUUAGAGAAUUUCCGCGGAACUGGAUUGCAUAGUGAUUAUAAAUAACCUUAACUUUGGUCCUGGCAUCCCUUACGAUUUCGUGGUUCAUGGAUAGGAGUUCCUGCAAAAUUUUCUCUCUUAUCCUUGGUUAACUAGUACCCUAUUUGAUACUUAAAUCACAUACGACAAUUAAGCCGCUGAUUUGUGGUAAGCUCUAUCUUAAAAUAAGGGAAGUUACGUAUUCUUUUCGAUCGGGCCGAAAGAUCUGCUCUUAAAAAGGGCUUGUGUUUCUUCGAUACUCAUUGGGCUGGGCUCUUCUGCGAGCUUCAGUGACUGACUUUUGUAGCAGCAUUUUGCUUUGCUGUUUGCAAGUGGAUACUAGUAUUUCUGCUGAUGUUGGAUAAUCAGCUUAAAGUGUCAGGCUAAUACGUAGUGAUAGCACUGACUAUAAUGAGGGCAAGGACUUAAAGGACGGGGACGAUCAAACCAC